AGUCAUAUGCUUGUCUCAAAGAUUAAGCCAUGCAUGUCUCAGUACAUGCCGCAUUAAGGUGAAACCGCGAAUGGCUCAUUAAAUCAGUUAUGGUUUCUUAGAUCAUACCUACAUUUACUUGGAUAACUGUGGUAAUUCUAGAGCUAAUACAUGCAAACAGAUUCCGACCAGAGAUGGUAGGAAUGCUUUUAUUAGAUCAAAACCAAUCGGUGGCGGAUGGCUCGUCUGUCCGUCCAUCGUUUGUUUUGGUGACUCUGAAUAACUUUGUGCUGAUCGCAUGGUCAUCUAGCACCGGCGACGCAUCUUUCAAAUGUCUGCCUUAUCAACUGUCGAUGGUAGGUUCUGCGCCUACCAUGGUUGUAACGGGUAACGGGGAAUCAGGGUUCGAUUCCGGAGAGGGAGCCUGAGAAACAGCUACCACAUCCAAGGAAGGCAGCAGGCGCGCAAAUUACCCACUCCCGGCACGGGGAGGUAGUGACGAAAAAUAACGAUACGGGACUCAUCCGAGGCCCCGUAAUCGGAAUGAGUACACUUUAAAUCCUUUAACGAGGACCAAUUGGAGGGCAAGUCUGGUGCCAGCAGCCGCGGUAAUUCCAGCUCCAAUAGCGUAUAUUAAAGUUGUUGCGGUUAAAAAGCUCGUAGUUGAAUCUGUGUGUCACAGUGUCGGUUCACCGCUCGCGGUGUUUAACUGGCAUUAUGUGGUACGUCCUAUCGGUGGGCUUAGCUCCUCGCGGGCGGUCCAACUAAUAUCCCAUCGCGGUGCUCUUCACUGAGUGUCGAGGUGGGCCGAUACGUUUACUUUGAACAAAUUAGAGUGCUUAAAGCAGGCUACCUUCGCCUGAAUACUGUGUGCAUGGAAUAAUGGAAUAGGACCUCGGUUCUAUUUUGUUGGUUUUCGGAGCCCCG
rnacentral:rRNA from 1 species